UACAGAGGGGCAAGCGUUAUUCGGAAUUAUUGGGCGUAAAGGGCGCGUAGGCGGCCAUUCAAGUGACGGGUGAAAGCCCUCGGCUUAACCGAGGAACUGCCUGUCAGACUGGAUGGCUUGAGACCGGGAGAGGUGAGUGGAAUUCCCAGUGUAGCGGUGAAAUGCGUAGAUAUUGGGAGGAACACCCGUGGCGAAGGCGGCCCCCUGGGCCGUACCUGACGCUGAGGCGCGAAGGCUAGGGGAGCGAACGGG
rnacentral:rRNA from 1 species